GAUUAAACGAGUCGCCUUCACCUUCGUGUUCUUCUACGCCGAUUUUUGCUGGUGCCCAAGACUUUAAGUAACCAGUGCAUUGGAUUACGUUGAACUUUUUAUCUGGGUAAUCAACACGUUAAAACACAUUACAAUGGUAUCAGCUUCUUCUUUUACCUGCGCUGAUAUCUUACAUUUCAUACGACAGAAAAACGAACGUCUUGCGCCGGGACACAUUCGCGACACACCCGGUGGUAAAUCAGUUUUUACUGGCAACAUAGCUAUACACAAUAAAAACCAUGAAUAGAAUAGAA